AGUUCACUUUUUAAAAACUGUUUUGUUUCUUAUCAUUUCAGUCUGUAAACCCUGUCCGAGUGGGCAGUCUCUCAAAAGAGGGGGUGUGGAAUGUCAGUCUUGGCCAGAAGUGACGUCUGUCACACCUCAGCCUAGUUCAGAACGGGGGCGUGUCGUGUCGACUACGGACCCCACAUUUACUCGCACUGUUUCGUCCACUCAUGAUGUGAAGGUGAUGGAUCCAGGCGUAUCCGGAGCAUUAGGACCCGAGAGCCGGAUGUUGGUAUUGAUCAUCUCCAUCACCGCAGUGCUGCUUCUUGCAGUGGGAGGGCUGGCCUAUUUUCUAAUUUGGGGGAAAUCCAAGAGGAGAAAGGUGG